UUUUUUUUACCUUUUCUUUCUUCUUUUCAACAGAAUUGAGUAGAUCUCUUUUUUUUUUUUUUUUGACUAGAUUUUUUUUGAAAUUCCCCAAAAGCUGUCCCAUUUUUUUUUUGAUGGGUAUUUAUGAGGUCGUUUGUAACUAUCCUGAGGGAAAGCGUGCGAGCGAAUUGCGGGACGUGGGUAGUUGAGAGGAGAUUGUGGGAUAGAUUUGAGAGAAAAGUGGGAUGAGGUGGUUGAGGAGAACGUGUGUAUGGGUGGUUAAGAGGAAAUCGUGAGAUCGGGCAUGAUGGGAAUCCGGGAUGUGGGUAGUUGAGAGGAGAUUGUGGGAUAGAUUUUGGACGGCAGCGAUGGGAUUGUGUGGUAAUGGAUGGUUAUGAUGGAAUCGUGGAGAUAUUGGGUAGUUACGAUAGGAUUGUGGGAAUAUUGCGGAUUAGUCCUUUCCCUUUGCUCAUAUUACACCUUAGUCAAUACAAUAAAAUAUUAUAUGAUUAAAGCGGAGCAUUUUGUAAAUACAUGAAAGGGAAAGGGCUAAUAUGCUAUUUUUGUACCCGUUCGCACCUACGGGAACGUCCCACUUUCCGCGUUCAAAAUUUGAACUUAAAUUUUUAUCCAUGCACCUAGUGCAUGGAUCAUCUCAUAAACCAUCUCUCUUUUUUUUCAUUUCUUUCUUCCCCCUUUUUUUUUUCUUUUUCCUCUUUUAUUCCUCUCUCUUUUUUUAUGCUUUAACAAAUGCCCCCCACCUUUUCAAGUUUGUGAAUUAAACAAGGUGGAAAAAGGUGCCGAUCUCCUUUCACGAUUCCAACCUUCAUAUCGCCAUCAAAGGUUUGAUCAUCAAAGAUCCGAGAUAUAUAUAU
rnacentral:lncRNA from 1 species